ensembl:lncRNA
UACAGUUCUUCCAUGUGUGUACCAGUGUUGUAAGUACUGGAUCUAAUUUUAUUUUAAACUACAAAUGCGUAUAUGACAGUAAUCACCUAUAUUUAUGUGUAAUACCUAUUUAACUACAUUACAAUAAUGUGUGGAUUGGAUGAGGUUAAUAUACUCAUUACUAUUAUUAUGUGAUAAUUCUGAAGAUCUGUUUUGCUCAUUUGCUUUCUGUAUGAAAAUGGAACUGAGCUCAAAGUUCUUGUUUUAUUAUUUUUAAUUUGACCACACUGCAAGGUACCCAUGAUCUUAGUUCCCCAACCAAGAAUCAAACCCUGGCACUUGGCAAUAAGUGUGCAAAACCCUAGUCACUGGACCUCCAGGGAAUCCCCAAAUUUCUUGUUUUAAAUAAUUCAGCUGAUAGCUAAAAUUUUAGCCAAAUGGUGAGUCUCUUCACAUUUUAUAAAACACAUCUUCAAAAACAGAAGUUAUCUUUGUUGAUUCUUUAAAGUUUAUAGAAAUACUUACCUUUUUUUCAUUUUCCCUUCUCUCUCUCAAUUUGAAGCCCUAGCCUCAUUUGAUCAUCCUCCACUCAACUUUUGAAUAUCAUCAUCACCACCAUGUACUAAUAACAAUCUAUAUCUUCAAUAAAAGAAUAAAAUGCAGUCACUACCUAGGGGUUAAGAAAGCAAAUCUGUUCGGAUGCAAUGCCAACUAAAUACAUGAUCUGAUUGUUCCAGUUACCCUGUGCCAACAAAAGCAGAAAUGGGCUUUCCAGUGUUCAUGACGAAGUAGGGAACCUGGUGUCAGAACGGCAGCUCAGU